UGGUAGUCCACGCCGUAAACGAUGUCUACUUGGAGGUUGUGGCCUUGAGCCGUGGCUUUCGGAGCUAACGCGUUAAGUAGACCGCCUGGGGAGUACGGUCGCAAGAUUAAAACUCAAAUGAAUUGACGGGGGCCCGCACAAGCGGUGGAGCAUGUGGUUUAAUUCGAUGCAACGCGAAGAACCUUACCUACUCUUGACAUCCAGAGAAGCCAGCGGAGACGCAGGCGUGCCUUCGGGAGCUCUGAGACAGGUGCUGCAUGGCUGUCGUCAGCUCGUGUUGUGAAAUGUUGGGUUAAGUCCCGCAACGAGCGCAACCCUUAUCCUUGUUUGCCAGCGAGUAAUGUCGGGAACUCCAGGGAGACUGCCGGUGAUAAACCGGAGGAAGGUGGGGACGACGUCAAGUCAUCAUGGCCCUUACGAGUAGGGCUACACACGUGCUACAAUGGCGCAUACAGAGGGCAGCGAACUUGCGAGAGUAAGCGAAUCCCAAAAAGUGCGUCGUAGUCCGGAUUGGAGUCUGCAACUCGACUCCAUGAAGUCGGAAUCGCUAGUAAUCGUAGAUCAGAAUGCUACGGUGAAUACGUUCCCGGGCCUUGUACACACCGCCCGUCACACCAUGGGAGUGGGCUGCAAAAGAAGUGGGUAGUUUAACCUUUCGGGGAGGACGCUCACCACUUUGUGGUUCAUGACUGGGGUGAAGUCGUAACAAGGUAACC
rnacentral:rRNA from 1 species